rnacentral:rRNA from 1 species
UACGACUACAUAUCAGGCAUAUCAAUAAGCGGAGGAAAAGAAACUAACAAGGAUUCCCUUAGUAACGGCGAGUGAAGCGGGAAGAGCUCAAAUUUGAAAUCUUCAAGGUUCUACCUUGACGAAUUGUAGUUUAAAGAAGUGUUUUCUGUUAGAGGAGUAGCAAAAGUUCCUUGGAAUGGGACAUCAUAGAGGGUGAGAAUCCCGUAUUUGACCGUUAUCUUUCCUAGCUUUGUGAUACACUUUCAGAGAGUCGGAUUGUUUGGGAAUGCAGUCCAAAAUGGGUGGCUAAAUUUCAUCUAAAGCUAAAUAUUGGCGAGAGACCGAUAGCGAACAAGUACCGUGAGGGAAAGAUGAAAAGAACUUUGAAAAGAGAGUUAAACAGUACGUGAAAUUGUCAAAAGGGAAGCGUUUGACACCAGUGUUGUUUUUCCGAAAAUCAAUUAAGAAGUGGCUUGAUUUUGUGUUGUAUUGACCUUAUCAGCUUUCUUCCACUCUUUUUCGAGUCUUUCUUAAUGCACUUUUCGGUUAACAAGUCAACAUCAAUUUCUUUUGUUGUAAAAGGGUAUUUGGAAGGUGGCUUUCUUUUCGGAGAAAGUGUUUAUAGCCUUAUACCUCUACAAUCGGAGAGAUUGAGGUCUGCAGCGUAGAUCCUUCGGGGCUAGAUACACUUGUGCUAAGUUAUAGCUUUUUCAUAGACAACUUGUCCGACUAUGUUUAGUCAUGUAGCUUACCCGCUUGUGCUAUUUUACCUACGCUUAGGAUGUUGAUCUACAGAGCGAGAGU